GCCAGCUGCAAAAACAGAACAUUGAGAGAGUUACUGCUGAGUUUGUGAGCAGUAUCAACAAAACAUGGGAAUCCAUUGAGGAUCCAGGAUGUCAAGUUGCUCAACAAGCAGCGGCGCCAACUUUCUAAUCUCUGCCUCAGGCCCCGCCCCCAGUCCACCCCAUCCCCUAAGCCCCACCCUCGUCUCACCUUGUCCACCCUGCCCCAACCCCGCCCCACCUCUUCCCUCCCCUGAGCUUGCCCCAUCCUUGCUCCUCAUCCCCCUUGCCCCAGUACUUCCUGAACACUGAGGAACAUCUUAUCAUGGUGGUGAGAGGUGCUAGAAGGGAGGGGGAGGCACUAAUCAGCGGCGCUGCUAGCAGGUGGGAAGCACUGGGGGGAGUGGAAGGAGCUGGCUGCUGGUGGGUGAUCAGCACCCACUAUUUUUUCCCCGUCAGUGUUCUAGUCCUGGAUCACCCAAGGAGUCAGGGCCUAUGUCAACAAGUCUGAGUUUCCCAGAUGUAGAACUUAAAUGAAGACAAUGAAGCAAGAGGCACAAGAUAUCUGUGACGAUAUAAUUGUUCAUGUAUAUGAAAGCUUUGUAUUCACAAAACAUCUGGUCAUUAAUAAAGAUUUUAAAUAACACCCGACCCAGAACAGAUCCCUGUAGAACUCCACUUGAAACCUCCUUCCAAUCUGAAUACACUAGUGAUGCUGUCAGUGGAGAAACAGAUGAUCCAAGAGAUAGCAGAUUUCAACAAGACAAUUAUUGAGAAGUUUUCUGCUCUCAAAGAUCACCUGGAAAAAAUCAUUUAUAAGUAGCUGAGUGUGUUUUACUUCAUGACUGCUUUACAUUAUAGAAAUAUCUUUUUU